AAUGGGGGCAACCCUGAUCCAGCGAUGCAGCGUGUGUGAAGAAGGCCUGCGGGUUGUAAAGCACUUUCAGCGAGGAGAAAAGAUAUAGAGUUAAUACCUUUAUAUCCUGAUGUUACUCGAAGAAGAAGCACCGACUAACUCUGUGCCAGCAGCCGCGGUAAUACAGAGGGUACGAGCGUUAAUCGGAAUUACUGGGCGUAAAGCGCACGUAGGUGGUUAAGUCAGUCAGAUGUGAAAGCCCCGGGCUCAACCUGGGAAUGCCAUUUGAAACUGCUUAACUCGAGUAUGGUAGAGGGAAGUGGAAUUUCCGGUGUAGCGGUGAAAUGCGUAGAUAUCGGAAGGAACACCAGUGGCGAAGGCGGCUUCCUGGACCAUUACUGACACUGAGGUGCGAAAGCGUGGGGAGCAAACAGGAUU
rnacentral:rRNA from 1 species